rnacentral:misc_RNA from 1 species
UGAGGCAAAGCAAAUAAGAGUAGACGGGUUUUCAUUUCCAGCAACCUUGAGUGAUGCAAAUGAUGCAGCAUGUGCUUCAAGCGCCUGACUGCGCUGCUGAUCCACAGAAAAGAGCUGCAUAUUUCCUUUAACCAGUUGUGGCCUCUCAGGAGCACCUGGUGCAAUUCCAAUCAGAACUAGCCAUUUCUCAUUUGGGUCACAGCGAUAGUUAAUAAUUUGAUUAUUUGCUAGAUUAGCUGUUCUGUCAAACAUCUUUACAGGCUCAGAAUCACCUUCUAUUGACCAAUGAUAUACUGAAGUUUGUGUAACCAAUCCCAACAUCUUUGGGGUGAUCCACUUCCAAAAGACAACCUGUUCAGUCAUCUGAUGCGAUUUUAUUUUUGCCUUCGCCUCAAUAUUGAAGAUUUGUAAGUGAUCCUGAGUAGUUCCCGCUAGUAUCGCUUUGAGAGCAAGAAUCCUCGCAUUCGGAUUCAUCAGAGCCGAAUCCGCCGUGAUCGGCCGCCGCAGAGGCUGCAUCGGCAUGCUCAUGUCGAUGAUCACGAUGCUGUUCUGCGGCGAGGUCUCCCGCACGCAUAUGUACUUGUCCGACUCCAUGGUGACGUGCGUGAACGUGAUGAAUUGCGGAUUGAUCCCCAAGCUCGGCAGCGUGAGGGCCUCCUUCAUGGUGACAGGGGCGUUGGCCGCGGCCAUGGCGGGCGGGAAGAUCGGCGGCACACCCCUAGGGUUCCGGCGAGGGGCGCUGGAUCUGAACGGAGCAGCGGAGCCCUUGCGGGGAGGGGCAAGGAG